UAUGGUCAAAUCACGCUGAAACACCGGUUCUUGUUCGAUCACCGAAGUUAAGCAUCGUAGAGCCAGGUCAGUACUUAGAUGGGGACCGCUUGGGGAACACACCUGGUACUGUAAG